rnacentral:rRNA from 1 species
CGCUGGCGGCGUGCCUAACACAUGCAAGUCGAGCGAGGAGAUCCUCGGGAUGAUCCUAGCGGCGGACGGGUGAGUAACACGUGGGCAACCUGCCUCAUAGAGAGGAAUAGCCUUCCGAAAGGGAGAUUAAUACCUCAUAACAUUGCAGUUUCGCAUGGAACAGCAAUUAAAGGAGUAAUCCGCUAUGAGAUGGGCCCGCGGCGCAUUAGCUAGUUGGUGAGGUAACGGCUCACCAAGGCGACGAUGCGUAGCCGACCUGAGAGGGUGAUCGGCCACAUUGGGACUGAGACACGGCCCAGACUCCUACGGGAGGCAACAGUGGGGAAUAUUGCACAAUGGGGGAAACCCUGAUGCAGCCAACGCCGCGUGAGUGAUGACGGCCUUCGGGUUGUAAAGCUCUGUCUUCAGGGACGAUAAUGACGGUACCUGAGGAGGAAGCCACGGCUAACUACGUGCCAGCAGCAGC